rnacentral:tRNA from 1 species
GUCCGAGUGGUUUAGGCGACUGACUAAAAAUCAGUUUCUCUCUGGGAGCGUAGGUUCGAACCCUAC